CCGGGAGAAAGAGGGGCGUAACAUUCAGAAUUCAGCAUCAUGCCCGGGAGAUGAAGUAAGCCGGAUGAAAUGCUUGUCUUCUUCCUUUGUUCCCUGCUGUAGCUUUGUUUCUAAUAAAUUUUUUUUAUCAACUUUAUUUGCCUAUUUCGGUUUGGUGCUAUGUUUAAGAUAAAUGUGAAAAGGAAAAGAGAGUGGAUAGAGGGAAUGAAAUGAGGAAGUUGGCUAUAAGAAUAAAGUGAUUCAAACAAAGAAAGAAGAUAAAGAGAUAUUGGAGCAGAAGAAAUCAGCCACCUCAAGAGUUGUUGCAAGGGACAAAGGGAGUUGAUAAUGAGGCUGACACAGUUCUAAAGAUGCAGGGGAAGAAGAGAAAACUGCCCAAUCUUGGACAUGCCUGAGAUCCUAUGGCAUGCAAAGCUGACCAGCACACAAGAAAUUGCUUGGGGAGUCAAACAAUGACCACAAAGGAAACAUAUGCAAGGAAUAAUUUGAGAAACGUUGGCCUUCAGUUUAAUCGCCUACCUCUAUCUGACUGCUAAAAGGUUUUGUGAAGUUUUAGGAGCAAGAUCUAAUUCUUAUGAUGUCAACCAGGAGAGGUCACCAAAUCUCUUGACACCUGAAUAGGUUCAUGAUUUCGAAGAUAAGCAAUUGACACAAGAGAUGCAUUGGCAAUGUUAAGCUUGUUCUAAUGGCCUGUGGAGCAGAUAAACUUGUCACUUCCUAGGGGAAAGAUAAUAUGGGGCGUUCAGUAAGCAUCCUUUAUAUGGGUUUGAGUCACUUAAGCUGUGCUGACCAGCGGCUCGAGCACCAUUUCAAUCAACAUUUCGUCAAAUAUGAGCAAGAAGCUUAAGUUAAAUGUGAAAAAGAAAAGAGAGUGGAUAGUGGGAAUGAUAUGAGGAAGUUGGCUAUAAGAAUAAAAGAGAUGCAAGCACAGAAAGAAGAUAAAGGCUUGUUGGAGCAGACGAAAUCAGCCACCUCAAGAGUUGUUGCAAGGGAGGAAAGGAGUUGAAAUAGGAGAGGAAUGGGGCUGACACAGUUCUGAAGAUGCAAGGGAAGAAGAGAAAACUUCCCAAUCUUGGACAUGCCUGAGAUCCAAUGACAUGCAAAGCUGACCAGCACACAAGGUAGGCUGAGGUGAAGAAGUGCUUAUGAAGUGAAUCUUUGAAGAUCCCAAACAUUGAUGAUGAACAAAAGAUUCAUAAUAUUAUGGUAAUUGUACUAGAGAAUUUGCUUGCAAAUCUAUUUUCCCUUAAUGUAAAGAGACAUAACAGAAUAUGGUCAGACUAGGUCAUUAGAUAAGAUAAGCAUAAUGUAUAGAGACAUAUAGAAUGUAUAGUGUAUGUAGUGUAUAUA